rnacentral:antisense_RNA from 1 species
GUGCAGUCUGCGCUUGGGAAUUUGUUGUUGUUUGUUCUUUAACCCAAAUAUACUUGAAAGGUAAAGCUUAGGAGGAGCAAACUUACCUGGCGUGGGCACUGCAGCGUGAAGAGUUCUCUCACCCAUUGCUCUGUCCUCCUGCGCCUGGAUCCUCGAGAAACGGACUGUUCUUAGAAGCUGAAAGUCCAGCCGGAUUUACAGACAUCCAGAUAAGAGUCUGUGAGAACCGAAAUUGAAAGGACAUGCACUUUGUGGGAAGUUGACUGUUGGGGAUUUUCCUGUUUAGCAAGACAGGAAACUAAAGGAGCUUGAAAGUGCUGGUUCCUCCACACCAGACCCCUGAAACUCAGGCUUGUUGGUGGAAGGGACUUAGCAUGUCUCAGAUGAAACUUUGGACUGUGAACUUUUGAAUUAAUACUGCAAUGAGUUAAGACUGGUGAGUGUUCAAUAGCAAAGACUUGGAACCAACCCAAAUGUCCAACAAUGAUAGACUGGAUUAAGAAAAUGUGGCACAUAUACACCAUAGAAUACUAUGCAGCCAUAAAAAAUGAAGAGUUCAUGUCCUUUGUAGGGACAUGGAUGAAAUUGGAAACCAUCAUUCUCAGUAAACUAUUGCAAGGACAAAAAACCAAACACUGCAUGUUCUCACUCAUAGGUGGGAAUUGAAAAAUGAGAACACAUGGACACAGGAAGGGGAACAUCACACUUCGGGGACUGCUGUGGGGUGGGGGGAGGGGGGAGGGAUAGCAUUAAGAGAUAUACCUAAUGCUAAAUGAUGACUUAAUGGGUGCAGCACACCAACAUGGCCCAUGUAUACAUAUGUAACAAACCUGCACAUUGUGCACAUGUACUCUAAAACUUAAAGUAUAAUAAUAAUAAUAAUAAUAAUAAUAAUAAUAAUAAUGAUAAAAAAGACUGGUGAGUGUUAAGAAGGCAAAAUUGUAUUUUUCAAUGUGAAAAGGACAUGAAAUUUGGGAGGGACCAGGGGCAGAAUGGUAUGGUUUGAAUUUGUGUCCCCACCCAUCUCAUGUCAAAUUGGAAGAGAUGCCUGGUGGGAGGUGAUUGGUUCAUGGGGGACGAUUUCCUCCUUGCUAUUCUCAUGACAUUGAAUGAGUGCUUAUGAGAUCUGAUGGCUUAAAAGGGUGUGGCACUUCCCCUUUCUCUUUCUGUCUCUCCACUGUCACCAUGUGAAGAAGGUGCUUGCUUCCCCUUCGCCUUCUGCCAUGAUUGUAAGUUUCUUGAGGCCUCCUAGUCAUGCUUCCUGUUAAGCCUGUAGAACUGUGAAUCAAUUAAACCUCUUUUCUUCAUAAACUACCCAGUCUCAGGUAGCUCUUUAUAGCAGUGUGGAAUGGACUAAUACAACAAGGUUCUUGAUAGAGAACCUACAAAUGUUCUCUAUUGACUAAUCACAUGUAAACUUAUUAUAAUUCAUAGUAUUAUUUGAAUGGAUCUGUUAUUCCUGCAGGAUGGUCAAACCACUGAUAUGUUUUCAGACCAACCCAUCUACUUACAGAUAUGUGUCUAACUGGAAACUUCAGUACAUCUUAUAUAUUGUGAUAUGCAUAAUCUUGACAUUCAGUUGUUAUCCUUAUUUUUUAUUCAUUAUAUAUUUUAUGAGCCC